rnacentral:rRNA from 1 species
GACGAACGCUGGCGGCGUGCUUAACACAUGCAAGUCGAACGGUGAACGAGGGAGCUUGCUCCCUCCGGAUCAGUGGCGAACGGGUGAGUAACACGUGAGCAAUCUGCCCCGAACUCUGGGAUAAGCGUUGGAAACGACGUCUAAUACCGGAUACGACGCGGGAGGGCAUCCUCUCCGCGUGGAAAGAACUUCGGUUCGGGAUGAGCUCGCGGCCUAUCAGCUUGUUGGUGAGGUAACGGCUCACCAAGGCGACGACGGGUAGCCGGCCUGAGAGGGUGACCGGCCACACUGGGACUGAGACACGGCCCAGACUCCUACGGGAGGCAGCAGUGGGGAAUAUUGCACAAUGGGCGCAAGCCUGAUGCAGCAACGCCGCGUGAGGGACGACGGCCUUCGGAUUGUAAACCUCUUUUAGCAGGGAAGAAGCGAAAGUGACGGUACCUGCAGAAAAAGCACCGGCUAACUACGUG